rnacentral:rRNA from 1 species
AUACGGAAGGUCCGGGCGUUAUCCGGAUUUAUUGGGUUUAAAGGGAGCGCAGGCGGAGAUGCAAGCGUGGCGUCAAAUUUCGGGGCUCAACCCCGUCUCGCGUCGCGAACUGCGUCCCUUGGUUGCGGGAAGGGGAGGCGGAACUCGUGGGGUAGCGGUGAAAUGCAUAGAUAUCACGAAGAACUCCGAUCGCGAAGGCAGCCUUCCGGCCCGUCAACGACGCUCAUGCUCGAAGGUGCGGGUAUCAAACAGGAUUAGAUACCCUGGUAGUCCGCACAGUAAACGAUGGACACCCGCGGUUUGGCCUGUAUGGCUGAGCCGCCAAGCGAAAGCGUUAAGUGUCCCACCUGGGGAGUACGCCGGCAACGGUGAAACUCAAAUGAAUUGGCGGGG